rnacentral:rRNA from 1 species
CGUAGGGUGCGAGCGUUGUCCGGAAUUAUUGGGCGUAAAGAGCUCGUAGGCGGUUUGUCGCGUCGGCCGUGAAAACUUGGGGCUUAACCCCGAGCCUGCGGUCGAUACGGGCAGACUUGAGUUCGGCAGGGGAGACUGGAAUUCCUGGAGUAGCGGUGAAAUGCGCAGAUAUCAGGAGGAACACCGGUGGCGAAGGCGGGUCUCUGGGCCGAUACUGACGCUGAGGAGCGAAAGCGUGGGGAGCGAACAGGAUUAGAUACCCUGGUAGUCCACGCCGUAAACGGUGGGUGCUAGGUGUGGGGGACUUCCACGUUCUCCGUGCCGCAGCUAACGCAUUAAGCACCCCGCCUGGGGAGUACGGCCGCAAGGCUA